rnacentral:tRNA from 2 species
GCCCGGGUGGUGAAAUUGGUAGACACGCAAGACUUAAAAUCUUGUCGCUUUCGAGCGGUGCCGGUUCGACCCCGGCCCCGGGCACCA